rnacentral:rRNA from 1 species
UACGGAGGGUGCGAGCGUUGUCCGGAAUCACUGGGCGUAAAGGGCGCGUAGGUGGCUUCUCAAGCGCGCGGUGAAAGCCCGGGGCUCAACCCCGGGUCGGCCGUGCGGACUGGGAGGCUCGAGCACUGUAGGGGCGGGUGGAAUUCCGGGUGUAGCGGUGGAAUGCGUAGAGAUCCGGAAGAACACCAGUGGCGAAGGCGGUCUGCUGGGCAGUUGCUGACACUGAGGCGCGACAGCGUGGGGAGCAAACAGG